CGGCCGCCCGCUCUCCCCGGCGCCCGCCGCCGCCGCUCGCUUUUUUAAUGUCCACAGACAGUGAAAAGGAACUCGGCGUUAGGGGGCUGCCACCGUGUCGGAGGCGAGGCGAGGAAGGGAGCUGGAAUAACAAAGGCAAGUAAUGGGGUAGAUUGGAUACCUCUGGGGUCUUGGAAGAAGCUAUGACUUAUUUACUGUCUACUAUGUGAAAUGACUGGACUCUUCUAUGGACCCAGUGGAGCUCAGACAAGGGUCCAGGCCCUGACACUGCCCCAGAGCAGGGGUGCCAGCACCUAUGAGGAUGCCAAGCUCAGGUCAUCGCCCUGCGGUGUCUCAGCCAACUGGGCCUCGAACAGCCCCAUAAACUUGGACAUAAACACA
rnacentral:lncRNA from 10 species